rnacentral:rRNA from 1 species
UACGAAGGGGGCUAGCGUUGCUCGGAAUCACUGGGCGUAAAGGGUGCGUAGGCGGGUUUUUAAGUCAGGGGUGAAAUCCUGGAGCUCAACUCCAGAACUGCCUUUGAUACUGAAGAUCUUGAGUCCGGGAGAGGUGAGUGGAACUGCGAGUGUAGAGGUGAAAUUCGUAGAUAUCUGGAGGAACACCGGUGGCGAAGGCGACAUCCUGGACCAACACUGACGCUGAGUGAGCGAAAGCCAGGGGAGCAAACGGG